GACUAUAAGACCCUGAGGUUCGGUGGACUGUCGCUGGCUGUGGUGUUGUUCACAUUGGGAAUACUUCUCAUUCUCAGUCGACGGUGCCGUUGUGGAGCUAACAAAAAAACAAGGACAUCUGGUGAUGAGGAGGCACAGGAGGAAACCAUGAUUAUCUCUAA